GUGCUCAUUUUGGUAGCACAUAUACUGAAAUUAGAAUGAUAUAGAGAUUAGCAUGGGCCUUGUGCAAGGGUGACAAGCAAAUUUGUGAAGUGUUCCAUAUUUAA
rnacentral:snRNA from 1 species